rnacentral:rRNA from 1 species
CCUACGGGGGGCUGCAGUGGGGAAUAUUGGACAAUGGGGGCAACCCUGAUCCAGCCAUGCCGCGUGUGUGAAGAAGGCCCUCGGGUUGUAAAGCACUUUCAGUGAGGAAGAACGCCUGGUGGUUAAUACCCAUCAGGAAAGACAUCACUCACAGAAGAAGCACCGGCUAACUCCGUGCCAGCAGCCGCGGUAAUACGGAGGGUGCGAGCGUUAAUCGGAAUUACUGGGCGUAAAGCGCGCGUAGGUGGCUUGAUAAGCCGGUUGUGAAAGCCCCGGGCUCAACCUGGGAACGGCAUCCGGAACUGUCAAGCUAGAGUGCAGGAGAGGAAGGGAGAAUUCCCGGUGUAGCGGUGAAAUGCGUAGAGAUCGGGAGGAAUACCAGUGGCGAAGGCGGCCUUCUGGACUGACACUGACACUGAGGUGCGAAAGCGUGGGUAGCAAACAGGAUUAGAACCCGAGUAGUC